rnacentral:misc_RNA from 1 species
UUUCCGUAGGUGAACCUGCGGAAGGAUCAUUAACGUGCAUCUAAUGCAAAAACAAACCAAACCGACCGUGAACUUAAAAACCCUUACUUUAAAAUUAAGUCUUGGCAUUUUUUCGGAAAUGACUUGACUUAACCCACCACAUUCACCAAAAACCUAAUAUAAAACCAUUCAAUCUGAUACAAAAACUUAGAAUCGACGACUUUUAACGGUGGAUCUCUAGGCUCGU